rnacentral:sRNA from 1 species
AAGUCAGGGUAUUUGAGUCAGAGAGAUGAUCACACACUUUUCAAUGCAAAAUGCUCU